CAGUCGUGAGGAAGGCGGCGUCGUUAAUAGCGGCGUUGUUUGACGUUAGCGACAGAAGAAGCACCGGCUAACUCCGUGCCAGCAGCCGCGGUAAUACGGAGGUGCGAGCGUUAAUCGGAAGUUACUAGGGCGUAAAGCGCAUGCAGGUGGUUUGUUAAGUCAGAUGUGAAAGACCCGGGGCGUUAACCUCGGAAUAGCAUUUGAAACUAGGCAGACUAGAGUACUGUAGAGGGGGGUAGGAAUUUCAGGUGUAGCGGUGAAAUGCGUAGAGAUCUGAAGGAAUACCGGUGGCGAAGGCGGCCCCCUCGGACAGAUACUGACACUCAGAUGCGAAAGCGUGGGGAGCAAACAGGAUUAGAUACCCUGGUAG
rnacentral:rRNA from 1 species